rnacentral:rRNA from 1 species
AUACCAGCACCCCGAGUGGUCGGGACGAUUAUUGGGCCUAAAGCAUCCGUAGCCGGUUCUACAAGUCUUCCGUUAAAUCCACCUGCUUAACAGAUGGGCUGCGGAGGAUACUAUGGAGCUAGGAGGCGGGAGAGGCAAGCGGUACUUAGUGGGUAGGGGUAAAAUCCGUUGAUCCAUUGAAGACCACCAGUGGCGAAGGCGGCUCGCCAGAACGCACUCGACGGUGAGGGAUGAAAGCUGGGGGAGCAAACCGGAUUAGAUACCCGGGUAGUCCCAGCUGUAAACGAUGCAGACUCGGUGAUGAAUAGGCUCCGUGCCUAUUCAGUGCCGCAGGGAAGCCGUUAAGUCUGCCGCCUGGGGAGUACGGUCGCAAGACUGAAACUCAAAUGAAUUGACGGGG